GUAACAGGCAGCGUCAGAGGAGAAGGCUAGCUGAUGUUUUGGGUCUGGACUCCUCUUCAGAAAUGGGGGAGGCGGAUGGAAGAUGGAUAGAGGAGUAGAUAGUUGGAGAGGAGAUAAGACAGGGAGCCAGUAAAGAUUGGCUGCCGCAUUCUGCAUCUUGGAGUAAUGGGGCCAAAUCCAUCCUGCACACCUCAAAAUGAAGAUUUUGACAUUUGGGGCAUUUUCUAAAAAAGCAGGCAUGACAAGCCUGGAAACAUCCUGACUCAAGCCACUUUCCUUAGUAAUGAAGAUUUACACUAAUGACUUCUCACCAGAACAUCUGGUGAAACUUCUGGAACUGUUACGGUGAAGGGCCACUGGGCUUGAAAUGUUAACUCUGCUUUCCACAAAUGUGACCAGAGCUGCUGAGCUUCUUCAGCAAUUUCUGUUUUAGUUUUGGUUCUCCAGAAUGCGCAGUUCUUUGUUUUCUGUUUGAGGGCUUGCCUUCUUCUUAUGAACAAAGGCCUAAACAAUCCCCAACCCUCUUCUGCCUGGCUGAAUUUGUUCUCCCAUGGAACAACUUCUCCUUUGUUCCACUCAUAUCCUCCAAACAAAAGGUUUUGCUGAUCACAAAUGGCCCUUUGAUUCCUGGAACCUAGGUCUUGGCACAACACCUGCUACAAUCAAAAGCUCCUAAUGGGACCCAAUGGGACUUUUAGACAGUAAACACAACAACUGUUGUAGAAGCCAGAUUUGCACAGUGAACCAUCCGCUGGGCCAUGACAUCUUGGAUGCCUGUACCUCCACUAUAAGCACCCCUAUAAAUUGGAAAUGAAGAUAGAGAUCUUGACCGUGACAUCUGGGAUACAGUCCCCUGGAGGCUGACUGUUCAGAAGGGCAAUGGAAGAGAUGAGCAGAAAUGAAAAGUCCAAGUGGCUGAGAAGAGGAAUCAGAGCAAACAGAUUUAUACCUAGGUACCUUACAGCUAAGAUGGUGCCACGAGAGGUGACAUUGAAAACUUUUCACUACACUUCUGUACUUGACUACACGUGACAAUAAAAGGCUCAUUUUCUGCUGACAACACUGGAAGGAGUUAACCCCCAGCUGGAGGUCACUGUGCAGACUCCAACUUGAGAUCCAACACAAUACAGCAGAAACCAGCAUUUCCUGCACAUCUCUGCAGAGGGACUCCACCUGCUACAAGGCUGGAGGAGACAGCUAAGAUGUAAGUCAAUAAUUUCACUGGAAUCUUUCCUCAGAUUGCAAGGGCCACCCUCUGUAUGUUUAUCAAAUUCCAUAUCAGCAGAAAGAACAGACAUUCACUUCUCCUCACUUCCCCUUACAAACACAACAGUGUUAGCCCCAGAUAAUGAUAGACAAAUGCAGUGCGGAAUCCUUCACUGUGCACGACUGAAACAGAACAAAUUUUAUCACUGCAGAUUUCACAAUUAAUGGAACACAGCAAACCACAUGCCUUGGCAUCACACUUAGUACUAGAAUCUCAGCGGCAGUGAUUACACCAACAUGGGGAUCUCGGUCAGUGGCAGUGAGUAAACUGACAUGAGGAUCUCUAGUUUCUCCAGGCUGAGCUCCUUGAUCUUCAGCUCACCAUCUGAAGUGACAAUGAAAGCAGAUUCGAUAGGAAUGUUCAAAAGUGAAUUUUAGAGGCACGUAAAAAUCAAAAAACAUCAGAACUAUAGAUAAG